rnacentral:rRNA from 1 species
CACCUACGGGGGGCAGCAGUGAGGAAUAUUGGUCAAUGGGCGGGAGCCUGAACCAGCCAAGUCGCGUGAGGGAAGACGGUCCUAUGGAUUGUAAACCUCUUUAGGCGGGGAGCAAUGCCGGGCACGCGUGUCCGGAGGGAGAGUACCCGCAGAAUAAGCAUCGGCUAACUCCGUGCCAGCAGCCGCGGUAAUACGGAGGAUGCGAGCGUUAUCCGGAUUUAUUGGGUGUAAAGGGCGUGUAGGCGGGAGCGCAAGUCAGAUGUGAAAACUCAGGGGUCAACCCUGAGCCUGCAUUUGAAACUGUG